UCCAGGGUAACCUAGUGGACAUGGCAUCUGCCCGGUAAGCGGAACGUUGUGGGUUCGAUUCCCGCCCCUGGAC
rnacentral:tRNA from 1 species